rnacentral:tRNA from 1 species
GGAAAGAUAGCUCAGCAGUAGAGUGCAUGCCUUGCAAGCAUGAAGCCCUGGGUUCGAUUCCUCAGUACCA